rnacentral:tRNA from 1 species
GGGAGCAUAGCUCAAUAGUAGAGUGCUCGAUUGACAUUCGAGAGGUAGUUGGAGCGUAACCAACUGUUCCCACCA